CCUACGGGAGGCAGCAGUGGGGAAUAUUGCACAAUGGGGGAAACCCUGAUGCAGCGACGCCGCGUGAGUGAAGAAGUAUCUCGGGAUGUAAAGCUCUAUCAGCAGGGAAGAAGAAAGACGGUACUUUACUAAGAAGCCCCGGCUAACUACGUGCCAGCAGCCGCGGUAAUACGUAGGGGGCAAGCGUUAUCCGGAUUUACUGGGUGUAAAGGGAGCGUAGACGGCUGUGCAAGUCUGAAGUGAAAGCCCAGGGCUCAACCCUGGGACUGCUUUUGAAACUGUGGAGCUAGAGUGCUGGAGAGGUAAGUGGAAUUCCUGGUGUAGCGGUGAAAUGCGUAGAUAUUAGGAGGAACACCAGUGGCGAAGGCGGCUUACUGGACAGUAACUGACGUUGAGGCUCGAAAGCGUGGGGAGCAAACAGGAUUAGAUACCCCUGUAGUC
rnacentral:rRNA from 1 species